GAUGAACGCUGGCGGCGUGCUUAACACAUGCAAGUCGAACGAUGAAGCCCAGCUUGCUGGGUGGAUUAGUGGCGAACGGGUGAGUAACACGUGAGUAACCUGCCCUUAACUCUGGGAUAAGCCUGGGAAACUGGGUCUAAUACCGGAUAGUAGCGCCUACCGCAUGGUGGGUGUUGGAAAGAUUUAUCGGUUUUGGAUGGAUUCGCGGCCUAUCAGCUUGUUGGUGAGGUAAUGGCUCACCAAGGCGACGACGGGUAGCCGGCCUGAGAGGGUGACCGGCCACACUGGGACUGAGACACGGCCCAGACUCCUACGGGAGGCAGCAGUGGGGAAUAUUGCACAAUGGGCGAAAGCCUGAUGCAGCGACGCCGCGUGAGGGAUGACGGCCUUCGGGUUGUAAACCUCUUUCAGUAGGGAAGAAGCGAAAGUGACGGUACCUGCAGAAGAAGCACCGGCUAACUACGUG
rnacentral:rRNA from 1 species